AAGAGACGUUGCCCUUCGGGGUAUACCUCCCACCCUUUGUUUAUUAUACCUUUGUUGCUUUGGCGGGCCCGUCCUCGGACCACCGGCUUCUGCUGGUCAGUGCCCGCCAGAGGACCUAAUACUCUGUUUGUUAAUAUUGUCUGAGUACUAUAUAAUAGUUA
rnacentral:misc_RNA from 1 species